UACGUAGGGUGCAAGCGUUGUCCGGAAUUAUUGGGCGUAAAGAGCUCGUAGGCGGUCUGUCGCGUCUGCUGUGAAAACUCGAGGCUCAACCUCGAGACGCCGAUGGAAACCGUCUGGCUAGAGUCCGGAAGAGGAGAGUGGAAUUCCUGGUGUAGCGGUGAAAUGCGCAGAUAUCAGGAAGAACACCCGUGGCUAAGGCGGCUCUCUAGUACGGUACUGACGCUGAGACGCGAAAGCGUGGGGAGCGAACAGG
rnacentral:rRNA from 1 species